CGGUGAAUACGUUCCCGGACCUUGUACACACCGCCCGUCAAGCCAUGGAAGCCGGGUGUACCUAAAGUCGAUAACCGCAAGGAGUCGCCUAGGGUAAAACUGGUGACUGGGGCUAAGUCGUAACAAGGUACCC
rnacentral:rRNA from 1 species